GACAGAGGUAGAGGUGGUGGUUGUAGAACAUUUAAUCGUGGUAUAAGACGUGGUUUUAGUUUGGGAGCUCCAAUUACCACCAACCCUUCCCCCUCAUCCAUUCACAUAUCAAUCUCAGAGUCGAUGGUUCAUGUUGUUGCACAAACUCCAAACACACUUCCUACAGCUCAAGACCAACCAAAUCCAACCUUUGUAAGGGAGUCAAUUCCCACUACCCCUGUUAGAAAUGUUUCACCUUCAGCACCAGAUGAUUCUGUUACACCUGAGUACCCACCAGAUCCAAAUUGUGAACAUAUUGUUGAUGAAAGGCCUUUCAUUCGUGCAUAUAAAGGAUAGUUUCAACCAACAUAUGGGUGUUCUAAUAUCAUAUCAAAUAUCAUUAGGGCAAAAUUUGAUGAACCAACUCCAAGUUGGUUGAAGGUGUCAGUUGACCUUCGCGAUAGGUGGUUUGGAGAGUUUAAGAGUAUAGGUGGCACCCACAAGAAGAGCGAGUCAUUAGAGCUGUUUUUUAGACAAAAGAUUCACGUAUUUUAAAAAGUGCAAUGAACAAGAUCAGAAAUGGUCAAGAUAAAGGAAAGUGGAUAACAACUAAUGUUCGAGCGGUCUUGGACGAACAUUGGGGUUCUACAAAUUUCCUAAACAAGAGCUCCACUGCCAAGGCGAAUCGAUCUGUUGAUAGAGGAGCCUCAACAUACUAUGGUGGUUCCAUAUCUACUGCAGCUCAC